CAGCCGCCACGGUAACACGUAGGUCCCGAGCGUUGUCCGGAUUUAUUGGGCGUAAAGCGAGCGCAGGCGGUUAGAUAAGUCUGAUGUGAAAGCCCCCGGCUCAGCCGGGGAGGGUCAUUGGAAACUGGGAAACUUGAGUGCAGAAGAGGAGAGUGGAAUUCCACGUGUAGCGGUGAAAUGCGUAGAGAUGUGGAGGAACACCAGUGGCGAAGGCGACUCUCUGGUCUGUAACUGACGCUGAGGAGCGAAAGCGUGGGGAGCGAACAGGAUUAGAUACCCCCGUAGUCCCUGUCUCUUAUAA
rnacentral:rRNA from 1 species